UUAACUAGCAUGUCAAUGUCCCAGGUCACACACUGUAUAGAAGACCCAUUGGGUCAUUUCAUCAUCCAGUCCGUUCAGUGUCUGUAGGGGAGGCUAUUGUCUGCAGACUAUAUAAGGACAUCAUCACAAUCUCAAGGUGUGACUAAGUAAGAAGCGCCGAGUCCUGUUUAGGAAACAAUGUCUCGCAUGACUGCCUUCCUCGUCAUUGUCUCACUGGCGACUGUGGUCAGUGCCGGCUACGUCAACGACUGGGACUCGCCCUUCAACUUCAGAUGUCCAGACAAUCAGAUCAUCAGUUACACAUCCAGUAUCCAUGACAACCGAAAGGAAGACAGACGC
rnacentral:sRNA from 1 species